UUUUUGUUGGGGAUAUAAGGGAAUCCGAAAGCAUCGUUCCUGCGAUCCAAGGAAUUGAUUCUCUGAUCAUCCUGACAAGUGCAGUGCCAAAGAUGAAACCUGGGUUUGAUCCAUCCAAAGGCAGGCCUGAGUUCUAUUUUGAAGAUGGAGCAUUUCCUGAGCAGGUAAUCCUCAUUUCUUUCCCCAUAAUUGGAUCUUGAUACUUCACUGGUUUCUCCUUCUUGAUGUUAUUUGAUGCUAGAUUUUUUCAUUUUAGGUUGACUGGAUUGGUCAGAAAAAUCAAAUAGAUGCUGGUGAGACCCUCGUCCCCUCUUGCAUGUGAUUCCAUUUUCUUUCCUUGCAUAUCUAGUAUGUUCUUGCUGAAUUAGAUUUGUGUGAACAGCUAAGGCCGCAGGAGUUAAGCAAAUUGUGCUGGUUGGAUCUAUGGGUGGAACAAACCUAAAUCAUCCCUUGAACAGUUUGGGUAAUGGGAAUAUACUGGUUCGUGAUCCUUUUCUGUAUCAUUUCUAAAAUGAACAACUCAAAUUUUAAGUCCAUUGUGUGUGAGCCUUCCACUCUGCAGCUCAAGAAAGAUAGUUCUCUUUCAUUUUGUUAGAGGACUUAUCUUUGUUUUAUGUCUUCUCUCUUUCAUUAAUUUGUUUUUAUUUUUGAGCCAUCACAAGUCUAACUUAAUUCAUUCUAUAAUGUUUCAG
rnacentral:lncRNA from 1 species